rnacentral:rRNA from 1 species
UACGGGGGGGCAAGCGUUGUUCGGAAUUACUGGGCGUAAAGGGCUCGUAGGCGGCCAACUAAGUCAGACGUGAAAUCCCUCGGCUUAACCGGGGAACUGCGUCUGAUACUGGAUGGCUUGAGUUUGGGAGAGGGAUGCGGAAUUCCAGGUGUAGCGGUGAAAUGCGUAGAUAUCUGGAGGAACACCGGUGGCGAAGGCGGCAUCCUGGACCAACACUGACACUGAGGAGCGAAAGCCAGGGGAGCGAACAGG